AUCAACUCCCGAAAGAAAGCAGUGACUCCAGGGCCAAGCCGUAAGUUUAACCGAGUGUUUCCCAACUCCAAACCCACACAAUUCUCUGUCAUGAGCAACUCAUGUUCUGUAAUACUCUCUACAUAAAUAGAAACUGGAGAUAGGAGAGUCAAAGGACCCGUACUCCAUGGCAUCAUCUCUUCUCACUCUAAAACCCACUACUCACCCUAUCUAUCACCACACACAUACACAAUCCUCAAACAUUUUCAUCCCCACAACCAACACCAAGUUUCAGUCUCCAUCAACAAUCCUAAGUACCAAACACAACUGUUUCCUCAGUUCAAAGUUGGUUGCUUUAAGCUACUCAUCCAAUCAGAGCACACAAAGAAACGAGGACAAGGAAGAAAAUGAUGUUGAGUUUGUAACUGUCUUAAAGAAUUGGCUGGGUUGUGUGCAAUCAGCAUUGCCUGGUGGAAGCUGGUGGAAUUUGAAUGAAUUUAAGCAAGUUGAGAGUAUUGGUUCUACAACUAAGGAGAUUACUGUCUGGGAUUUUUUACGAAGAAUGUGGGGAUUGGUGGUAGAUGAUAAGUGGAUUGUGUUUACUGCAUUUGGUUCUCUAGUUAUUGCUGCGCUUUUGGAAAUCUCAAUACCAAAUCUAUUGGCAACAUCCAUCUUCUCAGCUGAGAGCGGUAAAGCCUCCGUCUUCUUAAAAAAUGCACAUCUCUUGGCUUUGUUGUGUAUCGCUUCAGGAGUAUUCAGUGGCUUGCGAAGUGGCUGCUUUGCAACUGUGAACAUGAACCUGCUCAGGCGUCUAAGGGAAGCUUUAUACUCAACUCUUGUAUUUCAGGAUAUAUUAUUCUUCGACAAAGAAACAGUUGGUAGUUUGACAAGCAGGCUUGGGCCAGAUUGUCAACGGUUGUCUCAUGUAAUUGGAAAUGAUGUACACAUGAUUUUACGCUAUUCUAUCCAGGGCAUGGGUGCAUUGACCAAUCUCUUGAUCCUAUCCUGGCCUCUUGCAUUGUCGGCUUUGAUGAUAUGUUCUUUUCUAUCUGCAAUCUUUUUGAUUUAUGGACAGUACAGAAAGGAAGCAGCUAAGGUUACUCAAGAUUUCACUGCUAGCUCUAACGAGGUUUCACAUGAAACAAUUUCUUUGAUAAGAACUGUUCGUGCAUUUGGAAUGGAAAGACACGAGAUUGGAAGAUACAAACUGUGGCUGGACAGACUAGCUUCUAUAAGCUUGCGAGAAAGUGCUGCUGACGGAAUUUGGAAUUUAAGUUUUAACUCUCUUUAUCGCUUUACACAGGUUUUGGCUAUCCUAUUAGGAGGAUUGUCCAUUAUGACUGGUCAUGCUACUCCUGAGCAACUCACAAAAUAUGUAUUGUACUGUGAGUGGUUGGUUUAUGCAGCUUGGAGGGUACAAAACAAUAUAUCUUCAUUGUUGCAGUCUACUGGGGCAAGUGAAAAAGUAUUUCAGCUUAUUGAUCUCUUGCCUAGUAACCAGUUUCUUGCAAAAGGAAAAGUUCGUCUCAAUAUUUCGGGGAAUACUUUGGAUCUUGCAGAACAGCGCCGUAUAAAUUCUCUCACUUAUUUCACCCUCUCAGGAUUAAAAUUGAAGAAGCUGAUGGGACAUAUCGAGUUUGUGAACGUGUCCUUCUACUAUCCUUCAAAGGUACACCCAGUUCUAGAACAUGUAAACAUAUAUGUACAUCCUAAUGAAGUACUUGCGAUCGUGGGUCUAAGUGGUAGUGGGAAAAGCACAUUAGUCAAUCUCUUGCUUCGUCUCUACGAGCCAUCUGCAGGUCAGAUUUUGAUCGAUAACAUACCUCUUAAGGGAUUGGAUGUCAGGUGGCUGAGAGAAAAUAUUGGUUAUGUUGGGCAGGAACCUCAUCUUUUUCAUAUGGAUAUCAAGGGAAACAUAAUGUAUGGAUGCUCCAAAGAUAUAAAGCGUGAAGAUGUAGAACGGGCAGCAAAGAAGGCCUUUGCUCAUGAAUUCAUCUCAUCCCUUCCAAACGGUUAUGGAACCAUUGUUGACGAUGAGCUUCUUAGCGGUGGUCAGAAACAGAGAAUUGCCAUUGCAAGGGCCAUUGUUAGAGAACCUGCUAUUCUAGUUCUUGAUGAAGCUACCAGUGCUCUGGAUGCAGAAAGUGAAUACCAUAUUAAGGGAAUUCUCCAAGGUCUAAGAAAUGACACAAAAUCAAUGAGAACAACGAUUAUCAUUGCCCAUCGGUUGUCCACCAUAAGAGCAGCCAACAGAAUUGUUGUCAUGGAUGGCGGUCGAGUAGUUGAGGUUACUCUUUCUACUUUUAGAUAUCGCUCUAACCCUGACCAAAACAUAGGACAAAGCAUCGUCUGAUGGGAGACCACUUGGAGCUUAUGCGCCGGAAUGGACUGUACACAAGGUUAUAUGAAUUACAGAGAGAUGCCUUGGCUGUCUAGGUGUCUGGAGGAUGAAGAAGAGUCAUGUACAUGGCUACGUGCAACACAAUUCGGGAUGCCACGUGGUGCCUUCGCAUGAGUUGUGCUGGACUACCUUAGUAUAGUAUACCUCGGCAAGCUUGUCUCUAUUCAGAGAAACGGCCCACUAACAGAAGAAACAGAGAGCUGAUCACAGAUCCAGAGAUGAUAUGAUGAUAUAAGGCUUCUAAAUUUAGGUAGGUGGUUGAUUAGUGAUAGGACUGAUAGUUUUUUUUCUUGUCAGAUAUAUAUGAUUGAUAGUUGUUAGCGGGUGUGUGAAACCAUAGAAAUCAGCAAGAGUUAAAUUCUAAUCGAAAUUCACCUUAUUUCUUAAGAUGAAUUUAUUUUUAUAACAAAUAAACAGAGAGAUUGUGAUA